UUGGUUAUUAUCCGGGGACCAUUUGAUUAUAUUUUGGGAUCGAUCGGGUCAAAUGUCAAGGUCAAGGUCAUGAAAAGGUCAACAUCUUCUUGAUUCGCAUGCAAUUUGGUGGGAUGAUUGGUUAUUAUCCGGGGACCAUUUGAUUAGAUUUUGGGAUCAAUCGGGUCAAAGGUCAAGGUCAUGAAAAGGUCAAAAUCUUCUUUUUACCAUAGCGCGGUCCAUUUAUAUCCAAUUGGCAUGCAACUAAUGCCAACAUGUUCAUAAUUCAAUGCCCAAUCUUGUGAUAUGCGAAGGUAUGCACUCUACCGAGUGCCCAUUCUAUUUGUUAAUGUGUUAUGAAGCAUAGGGGUACUGUUUACUCUAUGCAAACGUACAUGGCAAGAAUUAAUGUAUACGUUGCAUGAGAAUGAAUGUUAGUUUAGUAUUUCAGAAUGUCGAAGCCGGUUGAAGCCCGUGAAGUGACUUUAAUGCAGGCAAUGGACAUUCAGAGAGAGGAGGAUUUUCCAUCUUGGCCGUUAAAAAAAAAAAAAAGGUUUCCAGUCUUCAGAUGUCCGGCUGCUUUAACAAGAGCAGAAGGCAGCAGCAGCGCUUCAGUGAAGACGCUGGAAUCAGCAACGUCUCCUUCCAUCGCUGGGAAAUUAAGAAACGCCGCACAUUAGUGCCAGUUCUGUUGGACUCCACUCUGGAUGUGGACUUCCUUCAUGGCGCAGUUCAAUCAGGUAUUGAGUAAACAGGUCCGGGUACGGCAGCCUGACGCCGCCGCCUGUCUUUGACAUCCCCACCCCCGCCCUGGAAUUCCUCCCGCAUGGCUCACUCUCCUCCGCUUUUGGGCCGAGCCGGAUCCCCUCGGGGCCCAUCUUCAGGAGGAAUUUAUUUUUCAUUGCCCCUAAAACCCAACUACUCUUGCCAGUUUGGCGGCGUACCCCCGGUGCUCGUCUCCAGGUCAGUACGGAGGAGCUUCUUCCCGCCCGUGAGGGGGCAGCUGUGAGGUCAGGGGGCUUCGGUCCUCCCUCCGCCCGAGGCCACGUUGUAUAUUAUCUUACGAGUACUAUACCCUCGCUUCUCCAAAACAGUAGGAGCGUCUAAUUCAUCUUCAUUGGGCAGGAAUUCUUGUCAAGUACGAUUUCACUACAUUUCAAGCGGGAGACUUUGUGGUUUUAUUGUCAAACGAGGGUAUCAUGUUGUGUUAUUAAACUGUGUGUUUCCAGCGGUUAGCUUCUGGGACUGGGGGAACCCUCACCGCAAAUAUUUCACUUUCAAAACCUCUCUCUAGUGACUGAAAAUAAAUUUUCUGUUGUUGCGGUUUUCAUUAUGAGCGACACAGACGUUGACGAAAGUUUGACCUUUUUUUUUGACAUGGCUGAUUCAAAUUUGUAUUGAUGUUAAUCCAAUAAUUGGGAGGUUUGGGUAUCCGCUCUAAUUCACUGUGUGACGAGUCGUGACUUUUGCUUCGAGAAUAAAACGACUUGGCUCCGGUGGUUCAGGUGACUCCA